UUGAGCUUCCUCGGGAGUGCAGUCUGGCCGUUCUGAGAUUAUACUGUCAAAACUUGAUCUAGAUAAUACUAGCGAAAGGACAUGCGUGACUUUUGAUU
rnacentral:ncRNA from 1 species